rnacentral:rRNA from 1 species
GAUGAACGCUGGCGGCGUGCCUAAUACAUGCAAGUCGAGCGAACGGACGAGGAGCUUGCUUUUCUGACGUUAGCGGCGGACGGGUGAGUAACACGUGGAUAACCUACCUAUAAGACUGGGAUAACUUCGGGAAACCGGAGCUAAUACCGGAUAAUAUUUUGAACCGCAUGGUUCAAUAGUGAAAGACGGUCUUGCUGUCACUUAUAGAUGGAUCCGCGCUGCAUUAGCUAGUUGGUAAGGUAACGGCUUACCAAGGCAACGAUGCGUAGCCGACCUGAGAGGGUGAUCGGCCACACUGGAACUGAGACACGGUCCAGACUCCUACGGGAGGCAGCAGUAGGGAAUCUUCCGCAAUGGGCGAAAGCCUGACGGAGCAACGCCGCGUGAGUGAUGAAGGUCUUCGGAUCGUAAAACUCUGUUAUUAGGGAAGAACAUAUGUGUAAGUAACUGUGCACAUCUUGACGGUACCUAAUCAGAAAGCCACGGCUAACUACGUG